UACGGAGGGUGCAAGCGUUAUCCGGAUUCACUGGGUUUAAAGGGUGCGUAGGAGGGCAGGUAAGUCAGUGGUGAAAUCUCCAAGCUUAACUUGGAACUGCCGUUGAUACUAUCUGUCUUGAAUAUUGUGGAGGUGAGCGGAAUAUGUCAUGUAGCGGUGAAAUGCUUAGAUAUGACAUAGAACACCAAUUGCGAAGGCAGCUCGCUACUCAAUUAUUGACUCUGAGGCACGAAAGCGUGGGGAGUCAAACAGG
rnacentral:rRNA from 1 species